GCCUCCUUAGCAUAGUAGGCAGCGCAUCAGUCUCAUAAUCUGAAGGUCCUGAGUUUGAACCUCAGAGGGGUCA
rfam:Mus musculus chromosome 5, GRC primary reference assembly.